GACGAACGCUGGCGGCGUGCUUAACACAUGCAAGUCGAACGGAAAGGCCCUGCUUUUGUGGGGUGCUCGAGUGGCGAACGGGUGAGUAACACGUGAGUAACCUGCCCUUGACUUUGGGAUAACUUCAGGAAACUGGGGCUAAUACCGGAUAGGAGCUCCUGCUGCAUGGUGGGGGUUGGAAAGUUUCGGCGGUUGGGGAUGGACUCGCGGCUUAUCAGCUUGUUGGUGGGGUAGUGGCUUACCAAGGCUUUGACGGGUAGCCGGCCUGAGAGGGUGACCGGCCACAUUGGGACUGAGAUACGGCCCAGACUCCUACGGGAGGCAGCAGUAGGGAAUCUUCCGCAAUGGGCGAAAGCUUGACGGAGCAACGCCGCGUGAGUGAUGAAGGUCUUCGGAUCGUAAAACUCUGUUAUUAGGGAAGAACAAAUGUGUAAGUAACUAUGCACGUCUUGACGGUACCUAAUCAGAAAGCCACGGCUAACUACGUG
rnacentral:rRNA from 1 species